CGAUCGGCCAACGGCAGCGCCAAGAGCCCGGCAGGCGGCGGCGGCAGCGGCGCCUCGUCCACCAACGGCGGGCUACACUACUCAGAGCCCGAGAGCGGCUGCAGCAGCGACGACGAGCACGAUGUUGGGAUGAGAGUCGGAGCCGAAUACCAAGCUCGGAUCCCUGAAUUUGAUCCAGGCUCCCCGGCGGUCACGAGAUUUCAGCCUGUGCAGGGAUUGGGCGAGAGUUCCGCAUAUGGAGGCGCCCUUGCUGGAGCCUCUCGGAGUGGAGCGCGUUUCCUUCUCCCCACCCUGCCUGAGACCCUUCUCAGUUAAGGCUUUGGACAGACUUUGAAAGGGACCCACCUUUUUUUUUCCUCCUUACAGUUUGUCAGUUUUUGCCCAGUGCCCAUAAUAUUGCGUUUGUGUCAGACGUUGGAUUUCUAUGUUAGAUAUUAAAGAGCUUACUUGUA
rnacentral:sRNA from 1 species